rnacentral:rRNA from 1 species
GACGGAGGAUGCAAGUGUUAUCCGGAAUCACUGGGCGUAAAGCGUCUGUAGGUGGUCAAAUAAGUCAACUGUUAAAUCUUGAGGCUCAACCUCAAAAUCGCAGUCGAAACUAUUCGACUAGAGUAUAGUAGGGGUAAAGGGAAUUUCCAGUGGAGCGGUGAAAUGCGUAGAGAUUGGAAAGAACACCGAUGGCGAAGGCACUUUACUGGACUAUUACUAACACUGAGAGACGAAAGCUAGGGUAGCAAAUGGG